rnacentral:rRNA from 1 species
GACGAACGCUGGCGGCGUGCUUAACACAUGCAAGUCGAACGGAAAGGCCCUGCUUUUGUGGGGUGCUCGAGUGGCGAACGGGUGAGUAACACGUGAGUAACCUGCCCUUGACUUUGGGAUAACUUCAGGAAACUGGGGCUAAUACCGGAUAGGAGCUCCUGCUGCAUGGUGGGGGUUGGAAAGUUUCGGCGGUUGGGGAUGGACUCGCGGCUUAUCAGCUUGUUGGUGGGGUAGUGGCUUACCAAGGCUUUGACGGGUAGCCGGCCUGAGAGGGUGACCGGCCACAUUGGGACUGAGAUACGGCCCAGACUCCUACGGGAGGCAGCAGUGGGGAAUAUUGCACAAUGGGCGGAAGCCUGAUGCAGCAACGCCGCGUGCGGGAUGACGGCCUUCGGGUUGUAAACCGCUUUCGCCUGUGACGAAGCGUGAGUGACGGUAAUGGGUAAAGAAGCACCGGCUAACUACGUGCCAGCAGCCGCGGUGAUACGUAGGGUGCGAGCGUUGUCCGGAUUUAUUGGGCGUAAAGGGCUCGUAGGUGGUUGAUCGCGUCGGAAGUGUAAUCUUGGGGCUUAACCCUGAGCGUGCUUUCGAUACGGGUUGACUUGAGGAAGGUAGGGGAGAAUGGAAUUCCUGGUGGAGCGGUGGAAUGCGCAGAUAUCAGGAGGAACACCAGUGGCGAAGGCGGUUCUCUGGGCCUUUCCUGACGCUGAGGAGCGAAAGCGUGGGGAGCGAACAGGCUUAGAUACCCUGGUAGUCCACGCUGUAAACGGUGGGUACUAGGUGUGGGGUCCAUUCCACGGGUUCCGUGCCGUAGCUAACGCUUUAAGUACCCCGCCUGGGGAGUACGGCCGCAAGGCUAAAACUCAAAGGAAUUGACGGGGCCCCGCACAAGCGGCGGAGCAUGCGGAUUAAUUCGAUGCAACGCGUAGAACCUUACCUGGGUUCGACAUGGAUCGGGAGUGCUCAGAGAUGGGUGUGCCUCUUUUGGGGUCGGUUCACAGGUGGUGCAUGGCUGUCGUCAGCUCGUGUCGUGAGAUGUUGGGUUAAGUCCCGCAACGAGCGCAACCCUUGUUCACUGUUGCCAGCACGUUAUGGUGGGGACUCAGUGGAGACCGCCGGGGUCAACUCGGAGGAAGGUGGGGAUGACGUCAAGUCAUCAUGCCCCUUAUGUCCAGGGCUUCACGCAUGCUACAAUGGCUGGUACAGAGAGUGGCGAGCCUGUGAGGGUGAGCGAAUCUCGGAAAGCCGGUCUCAGUUCGGACUGGGGUCUGCAACUCGACCUCAUGAAGUCGGAGUCGCUAGUAAUCGCAGAUCAGCAACGCUGCGGUGAAUACGUUCCCGGGGCUUGUACACACCGCCCGUCAAGUCAUGAAAGUUGGUAACACCCGAAGCCGGUGGCCUAACCGUUGUGGGGGAGCCGUCGAAGGUGGGACUGGUGAUUAGGACUAAGUCGUAACAAGGUAGCCGUACCGGAAGG